CUACGGGACUCUGCAGUGGGGAAUAUUGGACAAUGGGCGAAAGCCUGAUCCAGCCAUGCCGCGUGUGUGAAGAAGGCCUUCGGGUUGUAAAGCACUUUCAGUGGGGAAGAAAGCCUUGGGGCUAAUACCCUCGAGGAAGGACAUCACCCACAGAAGAAGCACCGGCUAACUCCGUGCCAGCAGCCGCGGUAAUACGGAGGGUGCGAGCGUUAAUCGGAAUUACUGGGCGUAAAGCGCGCGUAGGCGGUCUGAUAAGCCGGUUGUGAAAGCCCCGGGCUCAACCUGGGAACGGCAUCCGGAACUGUCAGGCUAGAGUGCAGGAGAGGAAGGUAGAAUUCCCGGUGUAGCGGUGAAAUGCGUAGAGAUCGGGAGGAAUACCAGUGGCGAAGGCGGCCUUCUGGACUGACACUGACGCUGAGGUGCGAAAGCGUGGGUAGCAAACAGGAUUAGAUACCCCAGUAGUC
rnacentral:rRNA from 1 species